rnacentral:lncRNA from 1 species
UAGGGCUGGAGUGGGACCCAAGAAUCUGCGCUUUGAUGAACUUCUCGGUGAUGCUGAGGCUGUGUGUUCAGGGGCCACACUCGGAGAAGCUCUGUACUAGAAUAUAUUAUUUCAGGGAAGCGCUAAUAUGACCUGUUCCCUCAAAUGUGCAGCGUAAUCUCGGUGGUCCCCCUGGGUCUUGGAGAGACGAGGACUCUCUUGAGGGUGGAGCAGCAGACCCACAGUUUUGGCUUCUUUCUCUAGCCGAUGGGACCCCCUCUGACAUUGCCACAGCCAGAAGGAAACUAGUCUUGCCCCUUGGGCCUGGCACACAUUCAGUCUUUCCUGUUGGCUGGUAAAUGCGGACGUCUUUGCCUCGCAGCAGCGCCUUGGAUGGUCUCAUUUAUGAGCCGUUCUGAUGAGAAGUUCUCUAGCACCUCUCAAGGCCACAGUGUUGGGCCCGCUAGGGCUUUUCUUGGGGAGGCCUCAAGUGCAGUCACAGUGAGCUUGUGUAUCUUUGCUCCUUUCCUGGCCCCACCUGCCUCUCCAGCCUGGUCCUCCAUUCUCACUUUUCAGCUCCCAGACUCCCACUGGACAUUCUUGCUCUUUCUCCCCAGGGCAUUUUCUGCAAGCCUCUCCACAUCCAGUUAGAGGAAUGCUUGCAUUCAGUGAAGCUGUCUUGUUGUAUUCAAGAGGGUGAAUCCAGACAAUAGUGAGAGAGAGUUUUAGUGGCUGUGGGGCCCUGCUGCCUCCCAGGAGAGGACCAGCCUUCUAACGGAGCUCCUGCAUUUUGGAGCUAGACGGUCUCGUGGAGUGACUGUUUGGAGUAUUAAAUGACUUACUGGAUGCAGGGGUCUUUUGACCAAGGUGUCUGGCCCAGAACAAGAGCUAAGGAAGCUGCCGUGGAGAAGAGCUCGUGCUCAUGCACGAUGAAGGUCAACAUGCAUGUGCAGGAAGGGCAUUUGGAACUCGAAUGACCAGAGGUUAGGCUUUGGACGAGAGCAGUCUUGGUGGAAGGGAUGCAGUAAACAAAGGCCCAAAAGGGGCUGCAGCGAGAGUCUCUAGCAAAGAGAAGACCCCUUGCCUGUUCCUUGAGCCUCUUCUCCCUUUGUACCCACCACGCUUGCUAGGCUAGAAAUCCAGAGAACAUCUCGCCGUUGGAAUCCCAGACCUCCACAGCCCAUGAAAACAUCACUCCCUGCCAGUCUUACCUGCCCUUCCUCAUACCAGGUUUCGGGGUGCUUGCCCCGGCUCAUUGCUGGAAUCACCCCCUCUUUUGGGUGCCAUGUUGCAGAAUGCAUCCUUCUCAUUUUUAGAUCUUAUCUUGUUGCUAUCACUAUGCUUGAAUGCAUUGGGGUUUGUCUCCUCGUUGAACUGCUUUUCUCUCUGUUUGCCAUGGAGACACGCCCAUCUUUCUUUUCUCAGGGCUGGACUCCUGGUGAGGGGUUCAGUGGAUAUUGGCCGAAUGUGUCAAUGGAUAGUGAAUCAGCAAACACAUGAAGGGAUGAGUGCGUAAAAUACAUUCCAACUGAAGAAUAGCCCAAGGCAUAGUGAACAUUUGAUCCCAUAGAUCCUGCUACUCAAAAUGUGGUCCAGAAACCAGCAGCAUCUGUCUCAAAAGAAAUACAGUCUCAGGCCCCGCCUCAGACCUGCUGAACCCGAAUCUUCAUUGUAUCCAGACUCCUGGGCCAUUCACGGGCGUCUCACAGGUUAAGACGACCGGCCUAGCAGUGAAGAGGGACAGCUCUGGCGACUAAGUUCGAAUUCCAGAUCUGCCUCUUACCCCGCUGUGGAGGAGAGCAAAUCGCUUGCUUCCCCUGGGCUGUAGUUUUCAUGUCUAUCAGUUGGAUGUUGCUGAAACUUGGCCUCUGUGCUCCGAUGCUGAAUUCAAUCUCUGAGACAAGAGUUUUAGGUGAAGGAGAAAAGAAGAGCUUUAUUGCUUUGCCAGGCAAAGGGGGACAGGGCGCUAAUGCUUCCAAACACUGUGCGUCCUGCCCUGGAGGAUUUAGUAGGAGUUUUCUAGUCCUGGUUCAAGGACUGUAUGAAUGCGAUAAGGAUCAGGGUGUGUGCUGGGCCUGUGUUCCUUUAAUCUGGCCUCAGGGGGUCUUCCCAUUGCGUGUCUGUGGUUCUCUAGGUUAUCAAAUUGUGACCUUCUCUCUGGAAUGCAGAAGGCUCCAUCAAGUAGUUAACAUCGUCCAUUUGUUGGGUUUAGUUCUGCAGAAGAGCUCGAAGAUACUAUUGUGUGUAUCCCUUGGGGGGAACCAGGACCUGCCCCAGGCUCCUCCCUGGUCUCUGCAUCCCCUCCCUUCCCUGAUUAGCAGCUGUUUAACCUGCCCUUUGGAAUUUGGGAAGGUCCUGGAGGCUGAAGCCUAUUCCUACAAGUAAGAAGUGGUGACACAGAAAGGCUUCCGUGUCCAGGAGCCCCCCAGGGUCCUGUCAAUUUCACGGGCAUAAUGGUAUAGUUACUUGUUGUCUUAUGAGGAUUAAAUGUCUUAGCAGAUGUCAGGUGCCUUGUACAACACCUGGUGAAGGGGAAGGGCUCAAAAAUAUCAGCAGCUCUUUUUCUUGUCCACAUUCGUCUGAUUGCCCGAGAGGCUGUGAGCAAAUGAUCACUGGUGACUGAAGAUCUGAAUAGCCGCUGUGCCUUCGAGUUUCCUCUACGCACCUGUGCCUGGGUGGUGGCGGCCGCCUGGCCUCAGGGUUGUCCCUUCCUGUGUGGGGCUCCCUCCGACGGGCACUGCUGACGUGCGUGGCGUGGCCUUCCUCUUAGCAGCCACGCCACAGACCUGGAGCUUCCUGGAGCUGAGGACACGGGCCAGACAGAGAGACCCGCCCUUCCCUGGCACUGAGUCACCCUCUCUCUCCUCAGACAGGGAUCAAGGCAGGUGGGGAGCUCUUCAGGCCUGGCGGAGGUGCCCCAGGCGCGGGGCUGCGUGAUUCAUCCUGCAGCAUGAGUCAACCUCAUUACAUAAGAGCAGAUGAAGAGCAUUCAAUUGCCACACAAGCCCAAAUCUGUCCCCGCAGACUGGGGGGCGGGGGGUGUCAGGGGGAGACCUGCCCAGAGACACGUCCUGGAAUCUCGGAAACAGCUUGGCCCCACUUGUCAUCGAUGUCUUCUUUCAUCUGUGUCUGAGGACCGUGUCCUCAGCAUCAUCAUCACUGAUGUGGUUAUAAUUUGAAACAGGCAGGAAAACUGCCUCUCAGGACGAGAAGUCAUAGGUAACUUACUUUACCUUAAAGAGAUUAGUUAGCAUCUAAGGAUUGGGGAUGUGGAAAAGCAUUGCCUUUUUUAAAAAGCGAUGUUAAAAAAUGUGGAGUUAGAUUAAAAAGCAGCUCAACAGAGGACAUAUAUGUAUUUAGCAAACAAAGGAAGAAAGAUUCUAUACCAAUUAUGUGAACUACGAUCUUCCUAAAUUUAUGACAGUGUGAGGAAUGUGCGGGCAGGGCAGGAUGAACACCUGCCCUUCCACACGGCAGCAGAGGGUCAGUAGAAAAUUUCCCUCAGCAAAGCAGCCUUCAGUGGGGGCAGCAGGUUAAAGAUCUGGCGUUGUCACUGCAGUGGCUCUGGUCCCUGCUUUGGCGCAGGUUCGAUCCCCGGCCAGGCGAACUUUCACAUGCCGCCGUGGGUGUGGCCAAAAACAAAACAAAACAAAACAACCAAACAAGCAAAUUGGCCUUAGAAAGACCUGUGACAGGUACAGAGUUCCCAUCAUGGCUCAGUGGUUUACGAAUCUGACUGGCAUCCAUGAGGAUGCAGGUUUGGUCCCUGGCCUUGCUCAGUGGGUUAAGGAUCCGGUGUUGCUCUGAGUCGUGGCGUAGGUUGGCAACCAUAGCUCCAAUUCGGACUCCUAGCCUGGGAACCUCCAUAUGCCAUGGGUGUGGCCCUAAAAAG